rnacentral:rRNA from 1 species
GACGAACGCUGGCGGCGUGCUUAACACAUGCAAGUCGAACGGAAAGGCCCUGCUUGUGUGGGGUUCGCGAGUGGCAAACGGGUGAGUAACACGUGAGUAACCUGCCCUUGACUUUGGGAUGACUGCGGGAAUCUGGGGCUAAUACCAGAUAAGCGCUCCGGCUGCAUGGUGGGGGUUGGAUAGGUUCGGUGGUUGGGGAUGGUCUCGCGGCUUAUCAGCUUGGUGGGGGGGUUGUGGCUUACCAAGGCUUUGACGGGUCGCCGGCCUGAGAGGGUGCCCGACCACAUUGGGACUGAGCUACGGCCCAGACUCCGACGGGAGGCAGCAGUGGAGAAUAUUGCAUAAGGGGCGGAAGCCUGAUGCAGCAACGCCGCGUGCGGGAUGACGGCCUUCGGGUUGUAACCCGCUUUCGCCUGUGACGAAGCGGGAGUGACGGUAAUGGGUAAAGAAGCACCGGCUAACUACGUG